GACGAACGCUGGCGGCGUGCUUAACACAUCCAAGUCGAACGGAAAGGCCUCUUUCGGGGGGUACUCGAGUGGCGAACGGGUGGUUAACCCUUGAGUAACCUGCCCUUGACUUUGGGUUAACUUCAGGAAACUGGGGCAAAUACCGGAUAGGACCUCCUGCUGCAGGGUGGGGGUUGGAAGGUUUCGGCGGUUGGGGAUGGACUCGCGGCUUAUCAGCUUGUUGGUGGGGUAGUGGCUUACCAAGGCUUUGACGGGUAGCCGGCCUGAGAGGGUGACCGGCCACAUUGGGACUGAGAUACGGCCCAGACUCCUACGGGAGGCAGCAGUGGGGAAUAUUGCACAAUGGGUGGAAGCCUGAUGCAGCAACGCCGUGUGCGGGAUGACGGCCUUCGGGUUGUAAACCGCUUUCGCUCAUGACGAAGCUUUGUGUGACGGUAGUGGGUAAAGAAGCACCGGCUAACUACGUG
rnacentral:rRNA from 1 species